AUGCUUUUUGUUUGUUAAAAAAAUAAAAACACUUAAAAACCCUUUAAACAAAUUCGAACAGCUCUUCCAAUUCUCGCCGUCAUCAAUGCUUCGCUGAACAUUCGUCUUUUUGGAACUAAUUCAAACUCCUCCAACUCGUAUCCUCUGUUGAUAAGGUUCCAACAUUUUUUUGGGCGAAACAAUGAGCUAUAACAGCUCUAAUAUGGGUUCUGGUAGUAGAACUGGUAGGAUGGCCCUUGAAUUUGGGCGGACCCAUGUGGUUAGGCCUAAAGGGAAGCAUCAGGCAACCAUUGUUUGGCUCCAUGGCCUUGGUGACAAGGGCUCAAGGUACUAAUGGCUUCUCUUCUUUGAGCU